rnacentral:lncRNA from 1 species
CAAAGUCGUUCAACAAACACUUGCUAAAUGCCCCUUUGCUAUGAGGUGCAGGGGAUGGAGCAGAAGGACCAUGCCCCAGUUCUGAUGCCAGAGGUAUAACAUUAACAGGGUCCUGAGAUGUGAGGGGCAGAAUGCAUUAGGCUUUCCUGGCCCUUCCAUUGUCUCCUGUCCGUCUAGGUAAGUGCCCAUUGACUGCCUUCCCAGCCAAGAGUCUGCAGCAUGCUUUGCAGAACCUCUUCUGCAUUAGAAAUGGGGGACCCCUGGGAUCUCACAGUCUCCUGCAGGUCAUGCCAGGGGGGAACUGGGGAGAUGCCACCUGCUACUUCCAGGUCCUAGAACUCCCUCCCAAGGCCCAGGAGAACCCCAAGGGAGUCCAUGCCAGCUGAGAAUGUGGUUGUGCAAAGACUUGGUGAACGAGAGGCAAUAACCUCCCACUGCUGGACCCCAUCAAUGCCCCAGUCUGGCAGGGGGACACCAGCUCAGGAACAUGUGGCCUCCUGGUAUUUCUUGGUAUUUAACUGUCUCAUUGUCUUAUCCAAGUCCCUAAUGAAAUGAUUUGUACAACAAUCUGUCUGUGCCUUAUGAAAGUGUCUGUGCACUUUUUAUCCUUUUUAAAAGCAACUUUUUAAAAGUGGACGGGGGACAAGCAGACAUGGUAGGGUUCUGGAAACCUGUGGUUAAUCAUCAAAACCCUCUUGCAUUAUUGUGGAUGUUGGAGUGAUAAAGUGUCCACCCUCAGCCCACUCCCCACAACCUGUGUACAGACCUUUUAAAAUGUCUAUCCCUCUUAUUUUUCUGUUUCAAUACUGUGACCUCUCCAAUACAGUCUAAUCUUUGGGGAACUAUACUAAAGGUUUUAAAACUUGGGGGAGUGGGUUGGAAAGGGUUUGCACUGGUCUUUGUGUAUUGUGCUUUUGUGUGUUGUGUGUUUUGAUUUUUGUCUGUUUUUAUCUGUUUUAUAUUAACAUAAUUUUCCUGUUUGAAAAACAAAUAUAACUUUGGCUUGUUAAAAAAAUAAAGUUUCGGGCCGGGGAUUUAGCU